rnacentral:rRNA from 1 species
GAUGAACGCUAGCGGGAGGCCUAACACAUGCAAGCCGAGCGGUAUUUAUUCUUCGGAAUAGAGAGAGCGGCGUACGGGUGCGGAACACGUGUGCAACCUGCCUUUAUUAGGGGGAUAGCCUUUCGAAAGGAAGAUUAAUACCCCAUAAUAUAUUGAUUGGCAUCAAUUGAUAUUGAAAACUCCGGUGGAUAAAGAUGGGCACGCGCAAGAUUAGAUAGUUGGUGAGGUAACGGCUCACCAAGUCGAUGAUCUUUAGGGGGCCUGAGAGGGUGAUCCCCCACACUGGUACUGAGACACGGACCAGACUCCUACGGGAGGCAGCAGUGAGGAAUAUUGGACAAUGGGUGAGAGCCUGAUCCAGCCAUCCCGCGUGAAGGACGACGGUUCUAUGGAUUGUAAACUUCUUUUAUAUAGGGAUAAACCUACUUACGUGUAAGUAGCUGAAGGUACUAUAUGAAUAAGCACCGGCUAACUCCGUGCCAGCAGCCGCAGUAA